rnacentral:rRNA from 1 species
GACGAACGCUGGCGGCGUGCUUAAUACAUGCAAGUCGAACGGAAAGGCCCUGCUUUUGUGGGGUUCUCGAGUGUCGAACGCGUGAGUAACACGUGUGUAUCCUGCCCUUGACUUUGGGAUAACUCCUGGAAACUCGGGCGAAUAACGGAUAGGAGCCUCCGCUGCGUGGGGGGGGUUGGGAAGUUUCGGCGGUUGGGGAUGGACGCGCGGCUUACCAGCUUGUUGGUGGGGGAUUGGCUUACCAAGGCUUUGACAGGUAGCCGGCCUGAGAGGGUGGCCGGCGACAAAGGGACUGAGAGACGGAGCAGAAGCCUAUGGGAGGCAGAAGUGGGGAAUAUUACAGAAUGGGGGGAAGCGUGAUGCAGCGACUCCGGGAGCGUAAUGACCGCUUUCGGGUGAUAAACCGGUGUCGGCGGAGAUGAAGCGGGAGUGACGGUAAUUAGUAAAGAAGCAACGGCUAACUACGUG